GUGAGGAAUCUUGCGCAAUGGGGGAAACCCUGACGCAGCGACGCCGCGUGCGGGAUGAAGGCUUUCGGGUCGUAAACCGCUUUUCUGGAGGACGAGUAAGGACGGUACUCCAGGAAUAAGUCCCGGCUAACUACGUGCCAGCAGCCGCGGUAAAACGUAGGGGGCGAGCGUUAUCCGGAAUCACUGGGCGUAAAGGGCAUCUAGGCGGUGUAUUAAGUCCUGCGUGAAAGCUCCCGGCUCAACUGGGAGAGCGCGUGGGAGACUGGUGCGCUAGAGACUCGGAGAGGGGUGUGGAAUUCCCGGUGGAGUGGUGAAAUGCGUUGAGAUCGGGAGGAACACCAGUGGCGAAGGCGGCACCCUGGCCGAGUUCUGACGCUGAAGUGCGACAGCGUGGGGAGCAAACGGGAUUAGAUACCCCGGUAGUCC
rnacentral:rRNA from 1 species